rnacentral:pre_miRNA from 1 species
AAUGGCACCCUAUUCCCUAUAUAGUGCACUACUAUAUGGGCCCUAAUCAAAAGUAGUGCACUAUAUAGGGAAUAGGGUGCCAUUU